rnacentral:misc_RNA from 1 species
CAUUCGAAUUCCCGAACGGAAAACCUUCUGAACCCUUUACUCCGGCCUGUUGCUUCAGUACAGCGUCGGGUAAGGUAGGAGCAGGACAUGCUCUGGUGAGUGGCACACAUGCAUGUAAAGGCUUUAUGAAGAAUUAAAAUGUUACUGUUGGAAAAUAAAAAUUGACUGAGGUCCAUGAAGUUUGCUGUGCAUAGCGCCGAGGACUAAGACGGACAUCAGGGUGGAGCACACGGCUGUUGCUGUACUCGCCGAGGUGUUGACAGAAUAGUUUAGUAUUUUACAGGACAUUUUCGACCAAGAUUGGCCUCAACUACUAUUUCAAAAUUACACAAGUGUCUGUACCUGUAAUUCGUGUUUAGAAACUUUAAGGAAUUACCUGUAAAACAUUUGAACUAUAGGUAUGUUAUCAGCGAGGCAUGUAAUAAGGUGAAUACUAUACGCGGACUACUGUCUGUAGCGGUGGUUGGUGGUUUAACCAUUGAAUUGAAAUUGAAAAUUCGUGCAGCGUUUCCUGGUCUUCUGCUGAACUAUUACGUGGUCUUGUUACGUUGUGUAUAUGAGCGUGUUGAAGGCAGUGUUGGGUCAAGCUCUUGUCCCCGGCCUGACCUCCCUAGACGAGGUACUCCAGCUCUCUCGUCUUCAGCUCAAGGUAAGUGUUUGAUAGCUCAUCGUGUGACAGGAAUCCAUCAAUCUCUAAGGUACGUAACAAUUUCCUUCUGUUUCCAUUGUUGCCAUGUUACGAUGUGUCGUAAUUAAUCACAACUUGAGAAAAGUCGGACAACACAAUCACUUCCUUAACAAAGGUAGAUGUUGUGGCGUCGACGUGGACCGUCCGGGUGACGUCAGCAGAGAUGCAAUGGCUAGGGUCACUUAGCUAGGUUU